GGUAUGCUAAAUUUAGUAUAGCUCAACAAUAGGAUACCAGUUAAAGAAUGACUUGUUUCUUCUUCAUUCCCACUGCUUCACUUGACUAGCCUUAA
rnacentral:sRNA from 1 species